GACGAACGCUGGCGGCGUGCUUAACACAUGCAAGUCGAACGGAAAGGCCCUGCUUUUGUGGGGCGCUCGAGUGGCGAACGGGUGAGUAACACGUGAGUAACCUGCCCUUGACUUUGGGAUAACUUCAGGAAACUGGGGCUAAUACCGGAUAGGAGCUCCUGCUGCAUGGUGGGGGUUGGAAAGUUUCGGCGGUUGGGGAUGGACUCGCGGCUUAUCAGCUUGUUGGUGGGGUAGUGGCUUACCAAGGCUUUGACGGGUAGCCGGCCUGAGAGGGUGACCGGCCACAUUGGACUGAGAUACGGCCCAGACUCCUACGGGAGGCAGCAGUGGGGAAUAUUGCACAAUGGGCGGAAGCCUGAUGCAGCAACGCCGCGUGCGGGAUGACGGCCUUCGGGUUGUAAACCGCUUUCGCCUGUGACGAAGCGUGAGUGACGGUAAUGGGUAAAGAAGCACCGGCUAACUACGUG
rnacentral:rRNA from 1 species